rnacentral:lncRNA from 1 species
AAUUGCCAUCACCGACCCCCAAUUCGGCGAUUCCCCACUCCCCCAACCCCAAACCUUUCAUACAACUUCAACCACCGCCGCACCACCACAUCCGUGGCCGCAUCACCACUUGAAAACUGCCAAUACCCAGAAAUUUGAUCAAUUAGGUGAACGAAUCUCAUACAUUAAAUAAGAGAAAUUGGGACUGUUCGGGGAGAAUCACCUCGUCAUAAUCAAACAACUUCAGCAACAACAAAUCAAAAAAAAAAAAAUGAAGGGAAUGGGUUUUACAAGUUCUGUUUCUUUUCUCCAUCACGAUUCACGCAGGGGGUCGGCGGCCCUUCGAUUUGUCGACCCGGCUGCUCAGCGAUAAUUAAGAAUAGCUCGACGACCUCGUUCUUCCAUCUUCUCCAACGAAUUAAGUAUAUUCGUGCGGCAGGUCGGUUUUUCCGCCCGGUUUUUGCUGGAAAAAGUCACAACAGAGAAGGUGGGGAUGAGAAGAUGGCUUUUUUGGAAAUAUGAAGGACUGAAUUGAAAAUUUUCAAACUUUACUUUGGUGCUGAAACUUUUGGGAUGAAUGUGCAAUUUUCAAAAUUUCUAAUUUAAAGGGUAUUUAUGUAUUUUUAGGUCAAAAAGCGCAAUCCCACUUGCAUACACGGCGAGUGCAGUGCACGAUAAGCUGUAUUGGACUUUUUUGGCUUUGACUAAUUUUCAUAAGGGGGUAUUUGCUAAUUUUUAUAACACGAGUGUGCUUUCAGCAAUUAGAGAUUUCAG